UAGGCUAUCUGCAGUCGAGCGAAUGAAGAGGAGCUUGCUCCUCUGAUUUAGCGGCGGAGGGUGAGUAACACGUGGGUAAUCUGCCUGUAAGACGGGGAUAACUCCGGGAAACCGGGGCUAAUACCGGAUAAUAAGAAGAAACGCAUGUUUCUUUUUUGAAAGUCGGUUUCGGCUGACACUUACAGAUGAGCCCGCGGCGCAUUAGCUAGUUGGUGAGGUAACGGCUCACCAAGGCGACGAUGCGUAGCCGACCUGAGAGGGUGAUCGGCCACACUGGGACUGAGACACGGCCCAGACUCCUACGGGAGGCAGCAGUAGGGAAUCUUCGGCAAUGGGCGAAAGCCUGACCGAGCAACGCCGCGUGAGCGAUGAAGGCCUUCGGGUCGUAAAGCUCUGUUGUUAGAGAAGAACAAGUACGAGAGUAACUGCUCGUACCUUGACGGUACCUAACCAGAAAGCCACGGCUAACUACGUGCCAGCAGCCGCGGUAAUACGUAGGUGGCAAGCGUUAUCCGGAAUUAUUGGGCGUAAAGCGCGCGCAGGCGGUCUCUUAAGUCUGAUGUGAAAGCCCACGGCUCAACCGUGGAGGGUCAUUGGAAACUGGGAGACUUGAGUGCAGGAGAGAAAAGUGGAAUUCCACGUGUAGCGGUGAAAUGCGUAGAGAUGUGGAGGAACACCAGUGGCGAAGGCGGCUUUUUGGCCUGUAACUGACGCUGAGGCGCGAAAGCGUGGGGAGCAAACAGGAUUAGAUACCCUGGUAGUCCACGCCGUAAACGAUGAGUGCUAGGUGUUGGGGGGUUCCACCCUCAGUGCUGAAGUUAACACAUUAAGCACUCCGCCUGGGGAGUACGACCGCAAGGUUGAAACUCAAGGGAUUUGACGGGGGCCCGCACAAGCAGUGGAGCAUGUGGUUUAAUUCGAAGCAACGCGAAGAACCUUACCAGGUCUUGACAUCCUUUGACCACUCUAGAGAUAGAGCUUUCCCCUUCGGGGGACAAAGUGACAGGUGGUGCAUGCUGUCGUCAGCUCGUGUCGUGAGAUGUGGGUAGUCCGCACGAGCGCACCUUGACCUAGUGCCAGCAUUCAGUUGGGCACUCUAGUGACUGCCGGUGACCAAACCG
rnacentral:rRNA from 1 species